rnacentral:lncRNA from 1 species
CCCAUGGUCUUGUCUCCAGCAGAUGCCAAGGAGUUCUAGAACCUACAAUCCUAGACUGGCCUGGCACUAGCUACUUUUGCCUUGGUCCAGUCUGGUACCAGUAUCUCCUUGCUACCUGGCCAUGCACUUCCAUUUCCCGGUUCUUGGCUUGUAUCCCUGAUCAACUCUGAUUUUGCCGGACGCUCGAGUUUCUGCUGCCGUCUUGUUAUCCGUAAGUCCGGUCUUAACUUCAUCAACACUGAAUGUCCUGUAGUUCUGCAAUCCCCAUUGUACUGUUGCUUUGUACAUUUCUUGAUUCAGUCAGAGCAUUAGUUGUUACACUGUGACUGUAAGUUUACAGGGCGUGCUGUGGGACUAGUAGGCUACGAAGUCUUGUCAGAAAAUGAAGGGUGGGUGGUCAGAAAGAAGCGUUCUACAGUUAGUUUCCAUGACUAACAUUUCAUUUUGGAACUGAUUUUCAUAAGCAGUGAUCCAAACGUUUUGUGGUAGUCACUAGCAGCCAGUCAUAUGAUGCCAUAGGCUUUGAUUUUCAGUUGGUAUCCCCAGUAAGAAAUGGAGGUUCAAAUGUUCCAUUCUAUGGUUCAUGACAUUUAUAUGUUGGUGUGUUCCUCAGUACUCGGCAGAGCCUGGAUUAGCCAUGUUAAUCGGAUGAACAACAAAAAGUGUUAAAAGUUAGUAACACAACAUAACCACCUGCAGAUCAUGCAGUGAAGUGCAAUUUCACAAUUUUCACCGGUUCAUUGUAUGUGGACGUGUGGUCCAUGAGAGGAUUAACUGUAUUAAAGUGCUAGAACUUGCACAUCAUCCUCAUGAGCUACAAAAAGUACCACUAGACGACGGCCUUGCAUGCUAGAGACUGGUCUGAUAAGUACGUUUGCUUUGAUCCGGAAUAUAAUCAUUCAGUCAUCCGCUUGCUGGAUGAGUUAAUUGCUGAUAUUGAAGUAUGAACACAUACAAGAUCUUAACCUUAUGUUCUAACUAACUGAGGAGCAGUGAAAAGGUAACGUGGUAUCUGCUAAAAUAUCUGACUGGUUGGAGUAAGUCUGUGGUUAGCAAGGAAUUUGAUCAUUCUCAAAUAUCUCUUUCUGAAAAAGAAGAAUCACCAUUCAGCUUAGUUCUAUUCAAAAAGUCGGGUAUCCGAAACCAUAGUCACAAAUCAGUGACGAGGGAAGCACAGUAGGUUAGAUGGAAAAAAAAAUCUUGUUGUUUAUGUUUUUAUCACCUGGUCCCCAUGAUCAUUGAGUAGCUCGCUUUCAAUAGAAUGGUACAUCUUUUUAAUCCUUUCACACUUCAAUUUCCUUCAAUUCCUUUCAAUGAUCACUGUGAUGCAAGUGAACUGCACAUCGUUUUCAUUUGUUUCUUCAAUGUUAAAUAAUGCACACUUUUUAAAAUAUCAAGGUAUUAUUACUGUCAUCAAACCCAGCACACCAGUGCGCUGAUGUCAGGUUCCCUUAUUUUCAGGUAAACAGUGCUAAGAGUGCAACGUCAACCUCAGAUUUUCAAAUGUAUUUCUGGUUAGUUCUCGUGCUAUGCAAUUUCGGAAUAUCAAAAUCCCUACCUCUGGAUAGAGACACACUUUUGGACAUAAAAGGCUAUCUGAAAGAUCCACAGAAUUACCUACACAACUGGGAUAAAUUUCAUUCACCGUGCCAAUUUUACGGUGUUACAUGUGACCACAAUUCUGGUGAUGUCAUUGGAAUAUCACUCUCAAACAUCUCACUAUCAGGCACUAUAUCAUCUUCAUUUUCUCUUCUUCAACAAUUACGCACUCUGGAGGUUGGGGCAAAUUCCAUCUCAGGAAUUGUUCCAGCUGCACUGGCCAACUGCACAAAUCUUCAGGUUCUAAAUCUGUCAAUGAACAGUUUAACAGGCCAAUUACCUGAUCUUUCAGCAUUGCUCAACCUACAAGUUCUUGACGUGUCCACAAAUAGUUUUAAUGGGGCAUUCCCAGUAUGGGUCAGCAAAUUAUCAGGCCUAACUGAAUUAGGCCUAGGAGAGAACAGCUUCGAUGAAGGUAAUGUUCCAGAAAGCAUUGGAGACCUGAAGAAUUUAACAUGGCUAUUCCUGGGACAAUGCAAUCUUAGGGGAGAGAUACCAGCUUCAGUCUUUGAUUUGGCAUCACUUGGGACACUGGACUUCUCACGCAAUCAGAUUACCGGUGUAUUUCCAAAGGCAAUAUCCAAAAUGAGGAACCUAUGGAAGAUUGAGCUCUACCAAAACAACUUGACUGGUGAAAUUCCUCAAGAGCUUGCAACUCUAACCUUGUUAUCUGAAUUUGAUGUGUCUCGCAAUCAGCUGACUGGCAUGCUGCCUAAGGAGAUUGGUGACCUGAAGAAGCUGAGGAUAUUUCAUAUAUACCACAAUAACUUCUUUGGUGAACUUCCUGAAGGGCUGGGGAACCUGCAAUUUCUUGAGUCAUUCUCAACCUAUGAAAAUCAGUUCUCAGGAAAGUUCCCUGCCAACCUUGGCCGGUUCUCACCACUCAACACAAUAGACAUAUCAGAGAAUUAUUUUUCUGGCGAAUUUCCAAGAUUCUUGUGCCAAAACAACAAGCUUCAGUUCUUACUGGCUUUGACAAACAACUUUUCAGGUGAAUUUCCUGGCUCUUAUUCUUCCUGCAAGACACUUCAGAGGUUCAGAAUAAGUCAAAAUCAAUUCAGUGGGAGUAUUCCUCCUGGCUUAUGGGGAUUGCCUAAUGCUGUGAUAAUUGAUGUUGCUGAUAAUGGAUUUAUUGGGGACAUAUCUUCUGAUAUAGGCCUUUCAGUUACUCUGAACCAGCUGUAUGUUCAAAACAACAACUUCAUUGGGGAGCUUCCAGUAGAGCUGGGAAGGCUCUCCCAGCUGCAGAAGUUGGUUGCUUCAAACAACAGAUUCUCUGGCCAAAUUCCUAAACAGAUUGGAAAUCUCAAGCAGCUGACUUACCUGCAUUUGGAACAUAAUGUACUGGAAGGGCCAAUACCACCAGAUAUUGGUAUGUGCAGUAGCAUGGUUGACCUGAAUCUUGCAGAGAAUUCUUUGACUGGAGGCAUUCCAAACACACUGGUCUCCCUCGUCACUCUGAAUUCACUCAAUAUAUCCCAUAACAUGAUCUCUGGUAACAUUCCUGAAGGUCUGCAGUCACUGAAGCUGAGUGAUAUUGAUUUCUCUCAUAAUGAAUUAUCCGGCCCAGUCCCUCCGCAGUUCUUAAUGAUAGCUGGAGAUGAUGCAUUCUCUGAAAAUGUUGGCCUUUGUGUUGCAGACACUUCAGAAGAGUGGAGGCAAAGCGUCACCAAUUUAAGACCUUGUCAAUGGUCUGACAACCGUCACAACUUCUUAACAAGACGUCUUUUUCUUGUGCUGGUCACAGUGACAUCUUUGGUUGUUCUCCUGUCUGGGUUGGCAUGUCUGAGCUAUGAAAACUACAAGCUUGAAGAGUUCAAUAGAAAAGGGGACAUUGAGAGUGGCGGCAGCACUGACUUGAAGUGGGUUCUUGAGACCUUCCAUCCUCCAGAGCUUAACCCUGAGGAAAUAUGCAGCUUGGAUGGAGAGAAUUUGAUUGGCUGUGGAGGCACCGGCAAAGUUUACAGGCUAGAAUUGAACAAGGGAAGGGGAACUGUUGCUGUGAAGGAGUUGUGGAAGGGUGAUGAUGCCAAGGUCUUGAAGAGUGAGAUAAAUACCCUUGGGAAGAUACGCCAUCGGAACAUUCUGAAACUCAAUGCAUUUUUGACUGGUGGAGCAUCAAGUUUUCUGGUCUAUGAGUAUGUGGUGAAUGGUAACCUGUAUGAUGCUAUUCGCCGUGAGUUCAAAGCUGGACAACCUGAGCUUGAUUGGGACAAGCGGUGCCGGAUUGCUGUAGGGGUUGCGAAGGGCAUCAUGUACCUUCACCAUGAUUGCUCCCCGGCCAUAAUUCAUCGGGACAUAAAGUCGACCAACAUACUUCUGGAUGAGGAGUAUGAAGCUAAGCUUGCAGAUUUCGG